AUUCCACGUUGCUGUAUCAAUUGACUGUCAUAUGUUCAUCUUUGGUGGGAGAUCUGGCAGUAGAAGAUUAGGCGAUUUUUGGGUUCUGGAUACUGAUAUAUGGCAAUGGUCAGAGUUGACAAGUUUUGGUGACUUACCUUCUGCAAGGGAUUUCGCAGCUGCUUCAGCCAUUGGAAACAGUAAAAUUGUUAUGUAUGGUGGCUGGGAUGGUAAAAAGUGGUUGUCAUAUGUCUAUAUCUUGAAC